UACAGAGGGUGCAAGCGUUUGUUCGGAAUUAUUGGGCGUAAAGCGCGUGUAGGCGGCUUUGCAAGUCGGGUGUGAAAGCCCUCAGCUCAACUGAGGAAGUGCGCCCGAAACUGCAGAGCUUGAGUGCCGGAGAGGGUGGCGGAAUUCCCCAAGUAGAGGUGAAAUUCGUAGAUAUGGGGAGGAACACCGGUGGCGAAGGCGGCCACCUGGACGGUAACUGACGCUGAGACGCGAAAGCGUGGGUAGCAAACAGG
rnacentral:rRNA from 1 species